rnacentral:rRNA from 1 species
GACAGAGGGUGCAAACGUUGUUCGGAAUUACUGGGCGUAAGGCGUGUGUAGGCGGCCGCGCAAGUCGGAUGUGAAAUCCCCGGGCUCAACCCGGGAAGUGCACCCGAAACUGCGAGGCUUGAGUACCGGAGAGGUUGGUGGAAUUCUCGGUGUAGAGGUGAAAUUCGUGGAUAUCGAGAGGAACACCGGUGGCGAAGGCGGCCAACUGGACGAGUACUGACGCUGAGACACGAAAGCGUGGGGAGCAAACAGG